GGUUGUGUCCCAUCAGCAGCGGCAUGUUCAUUAAUUUCAAUUCUUCCUUCUUGUUGAUAAAGGAAAAGGGUGGCUAGACGAUGGCCUCAUUGCUGCAAGAAGAAGGUUAAGAUAUUUUUUUUAAAACUGAAAUACUUAACAUAGAAAAAAACUAAAAUAACCCAUUAAGGCAUGAUUGCAUCCAACAUUCUAAAUACAAAUAAAUAUAAAAAACAUAAAGCAUACAACACAAUCAACAUUUUAGACCUUUUGGAGUAUCAAGACGCUUAACAACGGAGAUCUCAUUUUCGAACUCAACCUGAGCAAGAACGUUUGAUGAAUGAGAGCAUCAAAUUGUACCCGUGGGUCCUAAUGCAAAAAUCAAAGCUCAAUCACUAAAAAUCAAAACCGAUGUGGCAAAACAAUAGCCUUUAUAUACCCACAGUUAUAUUUCAGAGUCACCAUCAGAUCACUAAGAGCAUUGUACUUGUCGAUUGAUGACAGACAAUCUGAUCCCAAACAAAAUACAAAAAACUAGAAAUAAUGUUUGUAUAGAUCCAUAUACAUACUAAAAUAUAUAUAUAUACACACAAAAAAAAUAGCAACAGAUUUGUAGUUGACAAUACCCACCGUCCACCAUUCCUAAAAAAUAAAAUCAACAAUCAAGUAUCAGAAACUCAAAAAACUAUAAACCCUAGUAAAUAAUAAACCUAUAAAAUGUGAAACAACAAUUUUGUUGGCGGACCCAGAAAUUGAUGGGCCAAAAGCCAGGGGUUCCCAUUGAAAUCAUCGUCCUCUUCACCGUCUACGACCACCUUCCUGAUGUACUCCUGGGUAGGGACGAUUGAAUCGGUUUCGCCACCAGAAGUGGGUUUUGAUGUGCGAUCCUUGUGAAGUAUGCCAGCCUGAAGGGGCGACAGCAACCGGCGAACUGACCUAGGGCUUGGAUUGGUUUGGAGAAUCCACCGAGCAAGAGCCACCGAGCAAGAACGGCAGGGGCGACGGCGAAGAAGGUUGCUUGUGGUGGCCUCCGGAGAAUACGAUGGUCUGGUUUUUGAACGGGAUUGGAACUACUCGAAUGAGGGAGGAGAGAAACGGGGAAGGAGGGGAGGGGAGGGUUUUGGGGGAUUUUAAUUUUUUCUAAAACGACGUAGUUUUAAAAAUGUUGUAAAAAAUGUUGUAAAGUUUUGUUGUAAAAGUAGCUUUACUCACUAGUAAAGCAAUGGGACAGGGUCUGCAUAUCUAUCAAUUAUCAAUUGUGAGCACAAAGCUACUAUUCUUUUGCCUUUUACUAAAAAGAAUGAUUGUAGAAACCAUGGAAAGAAUAUCUGUUACAUUCAUUUCACUUCAGACACCAUGAAUGAUCUUUCUUGUACUUGUUACCUAAAUGCAGUAUCAUUAAUACCUACUCACUUAAUCAGCUGUUACAAUACGACAAUUACACCAACAAUGAAAAUCCAACUAGUCGCCAAUUAUUUCAAAAUUCAAUAACAACAUGAUCUAGAAGUGAUUAGAUUCACCAAAAGAAGCCUUGAGACAAAAAAUGUUGUGUUUAACAAACACGCAGAUAUCUGAUCUUUCGAUUGUCUAUUCUUGCAUUGCCCCUUGGCUUUGAGUCAUUGGCAUUGCCUUUUUCAAUUGAUGGAUAUUUGUUGGGUGCCUUCAGCAUCUUGUGCACAAAUGCUUUUGAUAGAUUAACAUCCGCUCUUCUUUGGGUAGUUUGGAUUUUGAAAACAAGUCCGAGGAUAUUGAAACAUCAUGGCAUGGGAUAGAAUUUGGCAUUUGUCUUCUUUUUGGGCUUUGGUUUCUCCUCCAUUUAAGGGGAUUCCACUUUUUAAAAUUUCUUGGGAUUGGAAGGCAGUUUGUGAUUUGUAACUUGAGUUUUUUAGUUAGGAUCUCUUGUAUUUUUUUUUCAAAGUCCUUGUCCUCCUAAUUUUGUAUAUCUUUUCAAUAUAUUUUUCUUUGUCGCUGAUCAAAAAACAAAAGAAUUGUACCUCAUAAAAUCCAUAAAUCAGUUUGCUUAUAUAAUUCCCCGGGAAGCCAUUCACCAAAACGCUCAUUACAUAAAACUUCCUAGCAAUUGAAACUAUGCCAAUGAGUAGGCAGUCUUUCUCAUGUAUGGGAGAGAACGGGAAAUUAAUAAAACAAAAAACAAAAAGCAUACAACAAUGGUAGUCAUGUCAUGGAUAUUUGGCAUUAGGGGUGCACAAAAUACCCACCCGACCCGAGACCCGAUCCAACCCGACCUCAUGGGUCGGUUUGGGUCGGUUUUUUCAUGUCCAUGGGUCGGUUCCGGGUCUAAAAAUUAUAGACCCGAGCGGUUCGGUUUGGUUCUCGGGUCCCUAAGUUUUUUUACCCAGAACCGACCCGACCGGAACCGACCCGAUAAUCGAAAGGUAGAACCGACCCAGAACCGACCCGAUCGGACCCGACUUGAGAACCAAAACCUAGAACUGAUUAUAUGGGCUUGUAAUGUACUCUACCACACUUGAUUAUUGCCUAUUUUAUAUAGAAUAAGUGAAAUAUUUUAAAAAAUCGAAGAAUCGACCCGAUCCGACCCAACUCGAGAAUCGAAGAACCGAAGAACCGAACCGAACCGGACCCGAGCGGGUCUGGUUGGGGUCCAAAUUUCUAGAACCGUGGAUGAUCAGGUCGGGUCCGGGUCCGACACAUACCCGACCCAACCCGACCCGUGUGCACCCCUAUUUGGCAUUGUUGGGAAAGUAGUUGGGGUUCAGGCAUACCAUGGAGAUUUGGCAUGUUAGCAAAGUAGACUGCAAGCGAUGCUUCAUGCGUGACAUGAUUAUUCAGCAUCAUUGGCAUAGCAUUUGCCCGAAAUUGAAAUAGUGUUCUCUGACAUUUUGGGUCAUUAACACUGUGUCGCAUAGCACGAUUCCAAUUACCAACAACCCCUAACCAAUGAUGUUAGAUAUCCAUGAUCCCCAAUAGCCAACAACAACUUUGCCGACAAUGCAUCCAUGGCACAUGCCCCCAAACCAACAACUAUUUUCCAACAAUGCUACCUAUGCAUGGUGUGGGGUGUGGUAUUUAAGAAACGGAAUAAAGGAAAUCAAAGAUAGACAUGUACAGUGGCCCAGUGGUGGUUGAAGGCGGUUACGUACAGUCAUUGGUUGCGCUGGCUUGAUUGCGACACAAAAAUAGUGAGUUCGAUCGCCAGAGCUAUUUUCGUGAAACAACUCUCCGACGUUCAAAUUAGAUGACCGGAGAAUCAAAGCAUAGAUAGAUAGAUAGAUAGAUAGAUAGAGAGAGAGAGAGAGAGCUUCUAGGGGCUAAAUUUGCGUAACUUUGAGAGAAUAAAGAUUCGCCUUAUAUAGCUCAGCUUGGUGCGUACCUAGACGUGCCAACUGUCAUGUUACUAGAUAGAUUGUAGCUCGACGCGUGCCUAAACGCGCUAAUUAUUGUGUCAGUGAGUAAGUGACUAACUCAAUCAUGCUCCUAGGGCCUGGUUCUCGCCAUUAUGUUGUCGAUGUCUCUAUCCAAGCAUGGGGGCUGUCAAAGGAAACUUCAUCAUUCAAGUUACCUUCUUUCCUCUAAUAUGCCUUGGGAUCACCGCGAUCAAGCUUCGACGCAGUCGUCCUACCGAGCUUGCUAUUAAGCGAUCUUGGUAGUAAUACUGGUUUUAGCUCCCCAAGCUUCAAAAUUCUCUGUGACUUGGUUGACUACUACUUUCGAAUCACUGAAGAUGUGGAGCUCGAGAACCUUCAAUUUGUUGGCAGAUCGAAGUCCUACAAUGAAAGUUUCGUACUCGGCCUUAUUAUUCGUCACAUGAAAAUUCAACAUGUGGCAAUGCUCAAAAAUUGUCCUUUGGGAACUUUUUAGGACAACUCCUGCCCUGCCCUUAGGCUAUUUUUUCGCUUCAUCAACAUACAUUUUCCAUGCUGAAAAGAGAUCGAUCUGAGGUAGUUUUAUAUCAACAUCGGGAACCUCAGUGAUUUCCCCAACAAUGGUUACCUUUGCAUCUUUUGGUGGUUCUUGAUAACCUCGGGACCCUCGAGUACUAAUUUGGUCUUAAUUGAUUUUCCCACCGAGCUUUCGUCCUAUCUGUGUAUAGACGCAAGGCAACCCUGCUUUGGAUUCAGUUUGGGGUAAAAACUCAGCCACAAAAUCAGCCAAGACUUGUCCUUUUAUUGUUGCCCUUAGCAAGAAUUUUAUGUCCAAUUGUCCGAGCUCAACGGCCAAUUUAGAGAGUCGCCCGGACAGGUCUGCUUUGGAUAAGAUAUUCUUGAGUGGAAACUCAGUGUAUACAAUAAUGGGAUGUGCUUGAAAAUAGUGUAUGAGUUUCCGCGAAGUUAAAACUAGGGCUAGCACCAGUCUUUUCAGCGGUAGGCACCUUAUUUCGUAAUUUGUAAACGUUUAUGCUAACAAAUUAGAUCGGGUGCUACUCUCCAUCUACCUCCCUUAGAAGUAUCAAGCUAACGAUGUGCUCUGAGACGGCGAUGUAGAUGUAAAGCAUUUAUCCCUCGUCCGAGAUAGAAAGAAGUAGUGGUUUAGUUAAAUAUUCCUUAAACUGUUGAAGUGCGAGCUCACAUUCCUCAUUCCAUAUUUUUUUUUGUUUUAGAUUGAAAAAAUGGAUGGCAUUUGUCAAAAGACUUAAUAAUGAAUCGGUUUAGUGCUACUGCCAUUCCGAUUAAUUUUCGAACUUCCUUCAUAGUUCUUGAACUAAUAAGGUCAUUGAUUACCACAAUUUUCUCUAGGUUCACCUCGAUCUCUUGCUGAGUUACCAAGUGUCUUAGGAAUUUUCCGUAACUUACCCCGAAGGCACAUUUGGCCACGUUCAAUCUCAGCUUGUGUUCUUUGAGAAUUGCAAAUACCUUGGCUAGGUCUCAUCCUUUGAUAUGUAGCUACGGCGACCUUGUAGCAGAAUAUGUCACGUGGGGUGAUGAAAGUGAUUUUUCUUUAUCAAGCGCGUGCAUCGCUAUUUGGUGGUAACCUCGAUAUGCAUCUUGGAAGUUUAUGCGGACAUGACCCGAAGUAGAGUCUACCAACUAAUCAAUUUUUCG
rnacentral:lncRNA from 1 species